GAAGGAAUUAAGAGCGCACAGUGGAUGCCUGGC
rnacentral:rRNA from 1 species